GAUGAACGCUGGCGGCGUGCUUAACACAUGCAAGUCGAACGAAGCAAUUGUGAACGACUGGAGAGCUUGCUCAAAGGAAGAGAACAAUUGACUGAGUGGCGGACGGGUGAGUAACGCGUGGGUAACCUGCCUCAUACAGGGGGAUAACAGUUAGAAAUGACUGCUAAUACCGCAUAAGCGCACAGUACCGCAUGGUACGGUGUGAAAAACUCCGGUGGUAUGAGAUGGACCCGCGUCUGAUUAGCUAGUUGGCGAGGUAAUGGCUCACCAAGGCAACGAUCAGUAGCCGGCUUGAGAGAGUGAACGGCCACAUUUGGGACUGAGACACGGCCCAAACUCCUACGGGAGGCAGCAGUGGGGAAUAUUGCACAAUGGGGGAAACCCUGAUGCAGCGACGCCGCGUGAGUGAAGAAGUAUUUCGGUAUGUAAAGCUCUAUCAGCAGGGAAGAUAAUGACGGUACCUGACUAAGAAGCCCCGGCUAACUACG
rnacentral:rRNA from 1 species